rnacentral:rRNA from 1 species
UACGGAGGGGGUUAGCGUUGUUCGGAAUUACUGGGCGUAAAGCGCACGUAGGCGGAUCAGAAAGUUGGGGGUGAAAUCCCGGGGCUCAACCCCGGAACUGCCUCCAAAACUCCUGGUCUUGAGUUCGAGAGAGGUGAGUUGGAAUUCCGAGUGUAGAGGGUGAAAAUUUCGUAGAUAUUCAGAGGAACACCAGUGGCGAAGGCGGCUCACUGGCUCGAUACUGACGCUGAGGUGCGAAAGUGUGGGAGCAAACAGGAU